rnacentral:rRNA from 1 species
GACGAACGCUGGCGGCGUGCUUAACACAUGCAAGUCGAACGGAAAGGCCCUGCUUUUGUGGGGUGCUCGAGUGGCGAACGGGUGAGUAACACGUGAGUAACCUGCCCUUGACUUUGUGAUAACUUCAGGAAACUGGGGCUAAUACCGGAUAUGAGCUCCUGCUGCAUGGUGUGGGUUGGAAAGUUUCGGCGGUUGGGGAUGGACUCGCGGCUUAUCAGCUUGUUGGUGGGGUAGUGGCUUACCAAGGCUUUGACGGGUAGCCGGCCUGAGAGGGUGACCGGCCACCUUGGGACUGAGAUACGGCCCAGAAUCCUACGGGAGGCAGUAGUGGGGAAUAUUGCAGAAUGGGCGGAAGUCUGAUGCAGCAGCGCCGGGUGCGGGAUGACGGCCUUCGGGUUGUAAACCGAUGUCGAAUGUGACGAAGCGUGAGUGACGGUAAUGGGUAAAGAAGCACCGGCUAACUACGUG